GUUCGCUUUGGCAGUACAUAUACUAAAAUUUGAAUGAUACAGAGAAGAUUAGCGUGGCCCCUGCGCAAGGAUGACAUGCAAAUUCGUGAAGCAUUCCAUAUUUUU
rnacentral:snRNA from 1 species